UACGUAGGGGGCAAGCGUUGUCCGGAAUCAUUGGGCGUAAAGCGCGUGUAGGCGGCCAGGUAGGUCCGUUGUGAAAACUCGAGGCUCAACCUCGAGACGUCGACGGAAACCAUCUGGCUAGAGUCCGGAAGAGGAGAGUGGAAUUCCUGGUGUAGCGGUGAAAUGCGCAGAUAUCAGGAAGAACACCCGUGGCGAAAGCGGCUCUCUGGAACGGUACUGACGCUGAGACGCGAAAGCGUGGGGAGCAAACAGG
rnacentral:rRNA from 1 species